rnacentral:rRNA from 1 species
UCCCUAUGGGGUGCAGCAGGCGCGAAAACUUUACAAUGCGGGAAACCGUGAUAAGGGAACUCCGAGUGCCCGUAAAAUCGGGCUGUCCAUCUGUUUAAAUAACAGGUGAAGAAAGGGCCGGGCAAGACCGGUGCCAGCCGCCGCGGUAAUACCGGCGGCUCGAGUGGUGGCCACUAUUACUGGGCUUAAAGCGUUCGUAGCUGGUUUGUUAAGUCUCUGGGGAAAUCUGCCGGCUCAACCGGCAGGCGUUCCAGGGAUACUGGCAGACUAGGGACCGGGAGAGGUGAGGGGUACUCCAGGGGUAGGAGUGAAAUCCUGUAAUCCUUGGGGGACCACCUGUGGCGAAGGCGCCUCACCAGAACGGCUCCGACAGUGAGGGACGAAAGCUGGGGGAGCAAACCGGAUUAGAUACCCGGGUAGUCCCAGCCGUAAACGAUGCGCGUUAGGUGUAUCGGUGACCACGAGUCACCGAGGUGCCGAAGAGAAAUCGUGAAACGUGCCGCCUGGGAAGUACGGUCGCAAGGCUGAAACUUAAAGGAAUUGGCGGGGGAGCACCACAACAGGUGGAGCCUGCGGUUUAAUCGGACUCAACGCCGGAAAUCUCACCGGAUAAGACAGCUGGAUGAUAGUCGGGCUGAAGACUCUACUUGACUAGCUGAGAGGAAGUGCAUGGCCA